rnacentral:rRNA from 1 species
GACGAACGCUGGCGGCGUGCUUAACACAUGCAAGUCGAACGGGAUUUAGUAGACAGAAGCCUCGGCUAAAGAUUACUAAUGAGAGUGGCGAACGGGUGAGUAACGCGUGAGCAACCUGCCUAUGACAGUGGGAUAGCCUCGGGAAACCGGGAUUAAUACCGCAUAAAAUCGUAGAAACACAUGUUUUAACGGUCAAAGAUUUAUCGGUCAUAGAUGGGCUCGCGUCUGAUUAGCUAGUUGGUGAGAUAACAGCCCACCAAGGCGACGAUCAGUAGCCGGUAUGAGAGGAUGAACGGCCACAUUGGAACUGAGACACAGUCCAAACUCCUACGGGAGGCAGCAGUGGGGAAUAUUGCACAAUGGGGGAAAACCUGAUGCAGCGACGCCGCGUGAACGAAGAAGGUAUUCGUAUCGUAAAGUUCUGUCCUAUGGGAAGAUAAUGACAGUACCAGAGAAGAAAGCUCCGGCUAAAUACGUG